GCUGCUUUGAUGAUUUCAAUGGAGCUUCAUCCUCGGGAGCAGUUUUCAACUUGUCAACAACAAUCAUUGGUGCUGGGAUCAUGGCCUUGCCUGCAACCUUGACGGAGUUGGGGAUGUUGCCUGGCCUCGCCUUCAUAGUCUUCAUGGCUUUGUUGACUAAGAAGUCAAUUGAGUUCUUGAUCAGGUUCACUAGGGCAGGAAAAGCUGUUUCCUAUGGUGGCCUCAUGGGGAUUCAUCUGGGAAAUAUGGGAAAGCACUUGUGCAGCUAUAUAUCAUAAUCAAUAACAUUGGUGUGCUCAUUGUUUACAUGAUCAUAAUUGGUGAUGCGCUGUCUGGAACAUCUGCAAGUGGAGAACAUCAUUCUGGUAUCCUAGAAGGAUGGUUUGGUGCACAUUGAUGGACCGAGAGGACAUUUAUUAUCCUAUUUACAACACUGGAUAUAUUUCUUCCACUGGCAAGAUUUAAGCGAAUUGGUGAGAGCUUUAGUCCAAGGAAGAUUUAUUGAGAACAUUGGGAAUUCUUAGACUUUUUUGCACAAGUUCUUGUUUUUACCACUACAGUUACAUGCAUAUAAUUGAUAACAUGUUAUUGCUACAAGAGCUGUUCUUUGUCAUCAAAUUACUCGUCGAAGUGUUUGUUGGAAGAGUAACGGCAAAAUUAGAUUUGCAUUAAGGCUUAAGAUGACUCAGCUUUCCCCCUUGU